UAAAAAAUAAGCUAAUAAAAGCUAAUGAGUUCAUACCUCAUUUAUAAAAGUUAUAAUCUUUUUUUUUUAA
rnacentral:tRNA from 1 species